GGCUGGAAGCAGAGGUGGCUAGCACUGAGCAAAUGACAGUAGACAAAGCUUGGGAAAAGCGGGAGAGAGAGGAGAGUAGGAUGUGGGAAGCCGACAGCCACACACGCCACACACGUUAAGUGAUCCUUUCGCAUCCACACGUGGAGAAGGCGCUCUACAGGCAGGCCCCAUCUGUGCUGGCUGUUUUCUGAGGCCAGCUCCCUGCUGCUUUAACUUCUCACCUUGUCCCACACCUCCUCUGUGGUGUCCAUUAGGUUUCCAAAGAAAGGAUUGACAGCAGCAUUGGAGACCAGGAUGUCAAUGCCUUGAUGAAGCUUCACAGCCUAGAGAGGAGAAAGGCGUGAGUCAGGGCUACAGCUCAGGGAGGGAGAUGCACUCAUCAUUGUUGGAGUUUCGUCUCAGGAGCAGUUGUCAAAUGCCUUUCCCGAAGGUGUUCUCUCUAAAGCCACCCUAAGCUCUGCUGACAUUUGAAGCUAUUAUUUCUGCGCUUCUUUCAAUCUGCCGCUUCUUCUAAGGGCGUCUCUGACCCUUUGUUCUUUUCCUCACACUUUCCUUUAGUGAGCGCCCACAUUCUUACGUCUCCACUUCUCACCUCAAAUCUAUUUCUAGACUGCCUCUUGAGUCCCAGCCCCAUUUCCUCGAGCACCUAUUGACCAUUUUCCUCGAGUAUGUCACCACGACCUCAGAGCCAGCCUGUCCACAUGUACCUGAAUGAAGAGAGGUUCUGGUGAAGGGUCAUUCUAGCCCAAUUUCCUCAUUUUCCUAGUUAUGACACCUAGGUCUGAGGAGGUUCAUUUUUCAAGCUUGUAACUCAGUAAUCAUUCUGUAGGGACAUUUAAGAGCAGAAUGGUCCACUCCUUUAGAGAGGUGAAGGGAUUUUUAUCCCCUCAGGUACAGUGGUGGCUGAACUGAGGUCAGACUCCAACUCUAGCAGAGAGCUGAUUCCUAGGAACACCCCCACCCCCCAAGCCAGUUGGGAUCAUUAUGAAGCCAGUUGUGCAGGAGAGCUGCGAUGGCGAAGCCAGCUGUUCCAGAGAGCUGCGAUGGCGAAGCCAGCUGUGCAGGAGAGCUGCGAUGGCGAAGCCAGCUGUGCAGGAGAGCUGCGGUGGCGAAGCCAGCUGUGCAGGAGAGCUGCGAUGGUGAAGCCAGCUGUGCAGGAGAGCUGCGAUGAAGACUUUCUGGCUUAUAGAGUUUGACACUAAGCUUUGGUGCCACUUUUCUUUCUCUUUUUGGCCCAGUGGUACAGAGGAGGCAUGGUGGAAACUGAGGCUUAAACUGAGAAAGCCAAGAAAGGAGACAUCUCACCUCCUCAUUAAGUUGUAAGUAGGUGGUGAUGGCUUGGGAGGAUAUGCCAACAAGCAUUGUCGGUAGUUAGAGGCCACCUUAAAACCAGGUUUUGUGUUUGCCCAUACCUGGCAAUUUUGAAGCCUUGGGCAAAUAGCAUGUAGUGGGCCCUCAAUCAACUUUGUGCCUCCAAUUUGGCAGAGGCGGGGUGUUAUUAACCAUGCACACCAUCUGCUGGCUUCUCCUCUUAACUAAUUAUUCCCGCUAACUAGGUGCUAAGCUCAGUUGUUUCUACAGCGCUAAAGGAAUACCCAGGCUGUCAACGUGUUCAUUUAACAAAAAUUUUAAAUCACAGAGUCCUUUAAAACCACUCCCAAUUGAUACUUGCUCGUGCAUUCUAGAUUUCGGUGUUGUAGCCCAAAAUCUCAGCCACCUGGCUUGGCUCUGUGCAAAAAGCCCGAUGACAUGUAACUGGCAAGAACAGAACAGAAGGAAAGUGAUUAUGUCAUGCUCUGUGAAAGUCAGGGAGGGGGAGAGGGUGAUGGGCUGCACCAGAGGGUUCUCUCCCUCUUCUGACUUCUGUCUUCCCUUUCAGGCCUGUCAGCACAGACAGGGAGAAGGCUGUGUGCUGAUUGAGCAUCAUAGAACCACAAAAGUUCAUGAGAAAUUGGAGAUGAUAGUCUAUUCUUGUGAUCCUGGCUCUGGGGAAACUGAGGCAAAAGGAUCACGGGCUUGAGGCCGGUCUGAGCUACAGAACAAGACCCUGUCUCAAACUCCAAUAUAAAAAGUCAUCCCCCUGAAUGCUGGGUGAGAAAAGACCACGUUGAUGUGUCUCAGAGUUUGCUCUACAGGAUCAAGACUACAAUCUCAGGCUCUUCCAGCAGUCUGUGACAGGCAAUACAACUUUCCUGGACUCAUAUUUGGCCCUUUGAGGAGCAUAUUAAGUAUCUGUCAACAGUCCUUUAAAACUGGAAUUAUCAUGAGACUCAGUUGUUAAGAUCACUGGUUGACCUUACAGAGGACCCUGGUUUGGUACCCAGGACUUGCAUGGAGGCUCACAACUGUCUGUGACUCCAGUUCCAAGGGAUAUGGCACUAUCUUCUGACAUGCAUGGCAUGGAACACACAUAGUGUACGUGGAACAUACAUA